AGCUGUGAAGGUGCAGGUGCAGAGCGGAUGGAGAGCUUCGGUUGAGCCAAAAGAGAAGAAGGAAAUGAGGGAGGGGCAAGGAAAAUGAGAAUGUGGGCAAGGACAGUGAGAACGUGGGUCAUGAGAGCCCAGGGAUGAAGUUAAUAUGGUGAUGGCGUCUUGCUCCUGGAGGACCCAGCUUACUGAGGGUAGAACAAAGGCAGUGAAGGGUGUAAGGAUAUUACACAGCUGUGUUCCGUGAGCUCUUAUGAAGGCUGUGGAAGGGAUCCAGGCAGGAUGGCCUCAAAUUAAGAUUUUAAUGACUCUUCCAUUUAGAAAACACACUCUUGCUGUUAAUGCUGUCUUGUCAGGUAUGAUUUUUGAAUCUGCAGGUGAAAGUAAAAAACCCCAUCUCCUAUUCAGUUGUGCAAAUGCUUGCUUCUGGGUGUUUCCAUUUGUAUGUCCAUUACGCAACAAACAUAUAGUACCUACAGAAAGUAAGGGCAAAACAAUUUCAAGAACUGGGAGUUUCCUGAAUCGACUCUGGCAAUAGGUGAUUAAGUGCUGAAUUUUGACAAGGUUAAGAUAGCUAGACCCAAACACUGACUGAGUGUGGGCCCCACGAGACUUUGUGAGUUUCAAAUGUACUUUUAAAUGUUGUUCUUUGGGGUUUAAAUGUUUUAUUUACAAAUGAACAAAUAACAAUUGAUCUUGAUGAAAGAAAUUUGAACAGGACUGGAGUUGAUAAAAAUUUAUGGCUGUGACUAUCAUUUGGCCGGUGUUUGAGCUUCGGUCAUAGACGUAAGUAGUUUGAUGCUGGUGGCGAUGAUGUAGGAUGGGUUACAGACACAAACACAUUUUUGCUGUCUUCCCUUGCUAUCAUUCUGACAGAAAUAGCACUAAGUAAAUGCCUUCAGCCUUCUCUGGCAUGCAAUUUUUCAUCCAAGCAAAACAUAAUGUACCUAGGACCUAAAAGAAAUUUAAUAAUCUCUACAUUCUUGUGAUUUGUUAGACCUUUCCCACAAACACCUACAGAAACUAUAUAAUGUUUGCCUGGAGAUUUAAGGUAACAGGCUUACACUUGCAGCAAGAUGAAUUUUUUAUUAGAUGUUAGGCAGACUCGUUGUGCUGAUGUUGGGAAGUGUAGC